rnacentral:rRNA from 1 species
GACAGAGGGGGCAAGCGUUGCUCGGAAUUACUGGGCGUAAAGGGCUCGUAGGCGGCCAACUAAGUCAGACGUGAAAUCCCUCGGCUUAACCGGGGAACUGCGUCUGAUACUGGAUGGCUUGAGGUUGGGAGAGGGAUGCGGAAUUCCAGGUGUAGCGGUGAAAUGCGUAGAUAUCUGGAGGAACACCGGUGGCGAAGGCGGCAUCCUGGACCAAUUCUGACGCUGAGGAGCGAAAGCCAGGGGAGCAAACGGG